rnacentral:rRNA from 1 species
CCUACGGGAGGCAGCAGUGAGGAAUAUUGGUCAAUGGACGUAAGUCUGAACCAGCCAAGUCGCGUGAAGGAAGAAUUCUUUCUGUACGUAAAACUCUAUCAACAGGGGAGAAAAUUGCUGUACCUGACUGAUCAUCCCCGGCUCACUCGGGUCCGGCCGCCGCAGUAAUACGUAGGGAGCCAGCGUUAUCCGGAUUUACUGGGUGUAAAGGGAUCGUAGACGGAAGCUAAAGUCUGAAGUGAAAGUCUACGGCUGAACCCUGGAAUUGCGUUGGAAACUGUGAAACUGGAGUGCAGGAGAGGUAAGCGGAAUUCGUAGUGUAGCGGUGAAAUGCUUAGAUAUCAGGAGGAACACCAGUGGCGAAGGCGGCUCACUGGACUGCAACUGACGUUGAGGCUCGAAAGUGUGGGGAGCAAACAGGAUUAGAUACCCGAGUAGUC